rnacentral:rRNA from 2 species
UUGACCUCGAAUCANGUAGGACUACCCGCUGAACUU